rnacentral:misc_RNA from 1 species
GAUGAAGACGCAGCGAAAUGCGAUAAGUAAUGUGAAUUGCAGAAUUCAGUGAAUCAUCGAAUCUUUGAACGCACAUUGCGCCCCUUGGUAUCCCGAGGGGCAUGCCUGUUCGAGCGUCAUUUCACCACUCAAGCCUGGCUUGGUGUUGGGCGACGUCCCCUUUGGGGACGCGCCUCGAAACGCUCGGCGGCGUGGCACCGGCUUUAAGCGUAGCAGAAUCUUUCGCUUUGGAAGUCGGGGCCCCGUCUGCCGGAAGACCUACUCGCAAGGUUGACCUCGGAUCAGGCAGGGAUACCCGCUGAACUUAAGCAUAUCAAUAAGCGGAGGA